GACAGAGGGUGCAAACGUUGUUCGGAAUUACUGGGCGUAAAGCGCGUGUAGGCUGCUCGGAAAGUCGGAUGUGAAAGCCCUGGGCUCAACCUAGGAAGUGCAUUCGAAACUCCCGAGCUGGAGUCCUGGAGAGGAAGGCGGAAUUCUCGGUGUAGAGGUGAAAUUCGUAGAUAUCGAGAGGAACACCGGUGGCGAAGGCGGCCUUCUGGACAGUGACUGACGCUGAGACGCGAAAGCGUGGGGAGCGAACAGG
rnacentral:rRNA from 1 species